rnacentral:rRNA from 1 species
CGUACUUCCCAGGCGGGAUACUUACUGCGUUAGCUGCGGCACCGGCGGUAACCCGCCGACACUUAGUAUCCAUCGUUUAAGGCGUGGACUACCAGGGUAUCUAAUCCUGUUCGCUCCCCACGCUUUCGAGCCUCAGCGUCAGAAAUGUUCCAGAGCGCCGCCUUCGCCACCGGCCUUCCUCCCGAUCUCUACGCAUUUCACCGCUACACCGGGAAUUCCGCGCUCCUCUCCCAUCCUCUAGCUGAACAGUCCCCUCUGCACUUUCCAGGUUAAGCCUGGAGAUUUCACGGAGGGCUUAUCCAACCGCCUACGCUCCCUGUACGCCCAGUAAAUCCGAACAACGCUUGCCACCUUCGUAUUACCGCGGCUGCUGGCACGAAGUUAGCCGUGGCUGCUUCUGGAGGUACCGUCCGAAUGGGUUACCCCAUCCCAUCUUCCCUCCCGAAAGGGGUUUACAAUCCGAAGACCUUCAUCCCCCACGCGGCGUCGCUGCGUCAGGCUUUCGCCCAU